rnacentral:rRNA from 1 species
GACGAACGCUGGCGGCGUGCCUAAUACAUGCAAGUUGAGCGCUGAAGGUUGGUACUUGUACCAACUGGAUGAGCAGCGAACGGGUGAGUAACGCGUGGGGAAUCUGCCUUUGAGCGGGGGACAACAUUUGGAAACGAAUGCUAAUACCGCAUAAAAACUUUAAACACAAGUUUUAAGUUUGAAAGAUGCAAUUGCAUCACUCAAAGAUGAUCCCGCGUUGUAUUAGCUAGUUGGUGAGGUAAAGGCUCACCAAGGCGAUGAUACAUAGCCGACCUGAGAGGGUGAUCGGCCACCUUGGGACUGUGACACGGCCCAAACUCCUACGGGUAGCAGCAGGAGGGAAUCUUCGGCAAUGGACGAGAGUCUGACCGAGCAACGCCGCGUGAGUGAAGAAGGUUUUCGGGUCGUAAAACUCUGUUGGUAGGGAAGAACGUUGGUGAGAGUGGAAAGCUCAUCAAGUGACGGUAACUACCCAGAAAGGGACGGCUAACUACGUG